UACGGAAGGGUGCAAGCGUUGUUCGGAUUUAUUGGGCGUAAAGCGCGCGUAGGCGGACCUGUAAGUCAGAUGUGAAAUCUCGGGGGCUCAACCCCCGAAACUGCGUCUGAAACUGCAGGUCUAGAAUCUUGGAGGGGGAAGGGGAAUUUCGCAUGUAGGGGUAAAAUCCGUAGAUAUAGCGAAGGAACACCAGAGGCGAAGGCGCCUUCCUGGACAAGUAUUGGAACGCUGAGGGCGCGAAAGCGUGGGGAUCAAACAGGGAGUUAAGAAUGAUCCCGAGGUACGUUCCCGAGUAAGCCCAAGAUCCUCAUGUCGUGAAC
rnacentral:rRNA from 1 species